CACGUGAGGGGCGAACGUUGUUCGGUGUCACUGGGCUUAAAGGGCGCGUAGGUGGCUGCGCAAGUAAGGUGUGAAAGCCCUCGGCUUACCCGGGGAACUGCGCCUUAUACUGCGUGGCUUGAGGGUCACAGGGGAAGGGGGAACUCCAGGUGUAGCGGUGAAAUGCGCAGAUAUCUGGGGGAAGGCCGGCGGCGAAGGCGCCCUUCUGGGUGAUUCCUGACACUGAGGCGCGAAAGCGUGGGGAG
rnacentral:rRNA from 1 species